AGAGAAGCACGGAGUCAUUUGACUCUGUCCACAGGCCACUCACAUGGACAGAGAAACUGGGUCUGCUAGCUACAAGCCCCUGGAGGGUUCUAAGUCGCUGACUCUAGGUCACCCCACACAGAGAAAGCAAGUCCCUGGUCACUCUAGCUGCUUCAGCAAUCAGCUGGGAAAAGAGUCAAACUUAUUUCUUUUCUGACUAUUCACGGCUAAACAGGCAGACAAAGGCAACUUCAGCCAAACAGGAAGAAGGCACGUACGCUCAAGUAUACCCCAUCUGAGGCUGCAGCGGGACUGAGUGAGGACACUCAUCCAUCGUCCCACCUCUGCCCAAUGGCCAAGGACACAAAAGCAAAGUGUGGCAUCCUCGGGAAUUGCACCCUGCAGGGAGAGACGGUGGAUCCAGGAGGGGCUUUCAUCAGCAUCUUAGCCGUGAUUCCAACUGAGUGGCAGCGUUCUACAGUUUUCCUUCCCUUUGGAUAUUUUUCUUGGUUAUUUGAUGAUAAGCCUAAACUAUUUAAUAAUUGGGAAAGAAAUAUAA